GCCAUCUUAGCUCAGUAGGUAGAGCGCCACCGUGGUAAGGUGGAGGUCGUCGGUCCGAACCCGAUAGAUGGCUUCA
rnacentral:tRNA from 1 species